UGUGGGGAUUAGUGGCGAACGGGUGAGUAACACGUGAGUAACCUGCCCUUGACUCUGGGAUAAGCCUGGGAAACUGGGUCUAAUACCGGAUAUGACCUUCCAUCGCAUGGUGGUUGGUGGAAAGCUUUUGUGGUUUUGGAUGGACUCGCGGCCUAUCAGCUUGUUGGUGGGGUAAUGGCCUACCAAGGCGACGACGGGUAGCCGGCCUGAGAGGGUGACCGGCCACACUGGGACUGAGACACGGCCCAGACUCCUACGGGAGGCAGCAGUGGGGAAUAUUGCACAAUGGGCGGAAGCCUGAUGCAGCGACGCCGCGUGAGGGAUGACGGCCUUCGGGUUGUAAACCUCUUUCAGUAGGGAAGAAGCCAAA
rnacentral:rRNA from 1 species